UGAUGUCGAACGGGCGCGGUUUGCUGUCUGAGCAGGUCUGCCUUCCAGCCAAAGGAAAUCGCGCUUGUGAAAGGAGAGGUGGAGAGUGAGCGAGCAGAGAGGGAGAGGAAAGUUGGGCUGCUCGAGCUCCCCCGGAUUUCCACCUGACUGCUCAGGAAGCGGGAUACUGGGACAGGCAAAAUGUUGAGUUUGGGCAGCGUAGGAGCGAAGUCUACUAAACCGUCAUUCGUGUCUUAUGUUACACCCGAGGAAAUAAAAUUGGAGAAAGAACCACCAAAGAUAGAGAAACAUCCCGAUUUGCUGCCAGGUGAAGUGGAGUUCUGUAGCGCCAACCCCAUUCUCAAAUACACUCAAGAUGAUAUGUCCCAGCGUGGCAUCUUUGGCACAUUGUUCUGCACCAAUUUUCGUGUUACAUUCAUUAGUGAUGAGAAAUCACAGGAGGAGACGACCAAGACCUUUAAGAACAAACUCUAUGGAGAAAAUGACAUUCCAUUAAUGUGCGUGGAUCACAUCUAUGGUGUUUACGAUGAAAAGAAAAAACUGAUAACAGGAGGCCUUGUGAAGAACAAAUAUCCAUCCAAAAUGAUCAUUCACUGUAAAGACCUACGAGUCUUUCAGUUCUGUCUGACAUUCACCAAGGAGGAAGAUGCCAAAAAGAUCUUUCAGGGUAUUGCUCACCAUUGUUUGGAGGAGAAAUCUCUGAAGUGUGUCUUUGCUUUUUCCUAUUCAGGGACACCAAGCCCAGAAAUGCAGAGGAAACGGGAGACAAUUCUGUUUGACUCACCAGAGGACUGGACCCAGGAAAUGAAACGGACGAGGGCGAACUGUAGACUAGUCACUGAAAACGUGAACUUUGAACUCUCUCAAAGAUUACCGAAGUACUUUGUCAUCCCAUCAGCACUAGGGGAUUUAUUCAGCUACCAAGGAAAGGGAUUUCCAAUUUGGUGUUGGUCUCAUCACAGCGGUUGUGCUCUCUUCAAAGCAUCUUUACCGCCUGUGACACAGGAAGAUGGGGAUUUCCAAAAGCACUUGGACAUAAUGAUAAAUGCAGUUGCACAUAAUUACCUUUACUCUGCAAAAACAGAGGACCUCUCAGAAUCACUUCCUACUAUCCAAGACAUCCAGCAAUCAUAUAACAAGUUCAAACAAUUCUUUCUUAUCGAAAAUUCAACUGAUUUUUGGUUGUCAGAUGUGAAAUGGUUCUCUUCCCUUGAAAGUUCAGGAUGGCUAGACAUUAUUAGACAAUGUCUCCAAAAAGCAGUAGAGGUGGUUGAAUGUCUUGAAAAGGACAACACAAAUGUUCUUAUAACAGAGGAAGAGGGAACAGAUCUGUGCUGUGUGAUCUCCAGUCUGGUUCAGAUAAUGCUGGACCCUUAUUACAGAACACUGAUGGGUUUCCAGAGUCUGGUGCAGAAGGAGUGGGUGGCUGGUUGCCAUGCCUUCCUGGAUCGAUGUAAUCACCUCCAUCAGAAAGACAAGGAGUGUCAUUCUCCAGUCUUCCUCCUGUUCCUGGAGUGCGUGUGGCAGCUUGUUCAGCAGCACAGCCCGGCCUUCCAGUUCUCCGAGACUUACCUGACUGUGCUGUCUGACAGUGUUGAUGUGCCAGUCUUUAGCACCUUUCUGUUCAACUCUGCCCAUCACAGAGAAAGUGUUAUGAAGGCAGAGUCACCGCUUGCACAAAGCAGCCCAUUGAGCUGCCCUACAGUGUGGGACUGGUCUGUGCAGUUUGACAGCAAGGCCCAGAAUUUCUUCUUUAACCCCCUGUAUUCAGAAAAGGUGAAACAUGAGAAAGCUGUACGCAAAGCUCACAAGCCCAAGCACCAAAGACAGUUAUCCUUACCCAGCACAGCUUUCAAACUCCCGUCCAAGAAAGGUUUCUUUAAGGACGAGACCGACAGCCUUAAAAAGAUGCUACGAGUGAAGCGUCUCAGUCGCUGGAUGGGCUCUCCUGACUCCCCCACUGCCACCACCCGAGGGUUCUAUGAGUCCUGGCAACAACGUCCUCUGGACUAUCACGGCCUCCUGCUCCCCUGUCUGGAUGGGCCGGCUGUCCGCGUCUGGAUUCAGCGAUACCUGCGCUGGAUACCUGAGGUGCACAUCAUGGGCGGAGGCUCUGUGGCCGUCAUGACCAAGCUUAUGGAACUUCUAAGUCAGGUGCAGGAUCUGAAGCGUGUGCUGGAGCAAAGAGACUCCUCACAAGCUGUUAAACUUGAUCACCGUCCAUACAUUCAGCACCGGCUGCUGUCGUUCGGCUCCUCGGGACGAUUGUCAUCCUCAUUCCCCUUCGCUUACAGCCGCAACCGAUCUUUCAAGCCCAUCAUUCCUACAGGUCUGAUGCAAAGCCUUAUGGUAACUGACAGCCUAGCCAGUCAGGAAGAUGAGGCCAGUUCGUUUGUGAGUUUGGUUUAACAGAGAGCCUUUUUUCACCCAUAUGUUGAUAUCUGUAUAUUAUAUGGAUAUUAUUAAAUUAUAAUAUUAUGAGGUAAAUACAGGAUUAUAGUGGCCUUGUCAGAUUCAAAUUAGGUGCUGAAAGUGCCCUUGAUGCUAAAGCGGGUCCUUUUGGAAAGUAAAACAGGUUUUUGUCAAACCACAAUAUGAGCCUUCAGACAGGAUGUAAGCUCUUUUAUUUUCGAUGUUCUUAAUGGAACAAUACCUGGAAUUGCUCUCUUGCUCAUCACGAAAGAGGAACAGGAUAUAGCCCUGAGUUUCCAGCCUUUCCACAGUGCAGUGUUACAUAAAAUCAUCACCAAGUAACAUUCCAUACAGUAUUCCAUUCCAGUGGUCUACGGAUAGAUGAGCUUAUCCUGAAUAAUAGCAACCAUUAUAAAGAGUUAUAAAUACAUCUGACUUCCACACUUCUCUGACUCCUCACAUAAUAUAGCUCCUGAUGUACUCAGUGGUUUGUACACGCCUCUGCAGUGCUUGAAGCAUGUUUUCAGCUUUCUCUGGCAGUGAAAAGUAUCCAAAGAAGGUUAGCCAAGGAGAAUAGCGUGGAGCCAUCUACAGGUAUAUUAUUGUUACUGCUGCAUUUAAAAUGUAUUGAGGAUUAGACUGUAAUUACUGUGGUCCGAUGUGACCUAGCAUUUCUUUUCCCCAGAUGCCAAGUCAACCUUCGGGUAUAUAAAUGUUUAAUGUGUGAAAAAUUUUUUUUUGUCUAAACAGGAAGUAUGGAUCAGUACAUGAGAUCAGCUGUCUCAGAGUUUCAGUGCUCUGUUGUAUAAUGUACACUGUGGGGCUCUUAGCUAUAUAUAAUGGAAAAUCAUAGUAAACUGCAAGCCUUUGCAAAUAUAAUUAUUUAAACAUAAGCUAAUGUAAUUCUGUAUCUGCAUUUGUGCACAUUUCCUUUGCAGUACUACUGCCACAAAUCAACAGGCACUUCAUUCAAAAAAACAAAAAAAAUGUUGUUCAAAUUGCAUUUGAAAUGUAAUGAAGCUGAUGUAAGCUGAAAUCACUGAAGCACUGAGCUGUUAUUUGCUGGCAAGUGUGUGGAGAAAGCCGUUUCCUGAGCAUUUUGUUUUUGUUUGCACCCCUUCCACUUAUGUUUUGCACUACCCUGCCAGUCAAUCACUGUUACUUGAACAGUCAGCUGUAAAUCUGAUUCUGUUCACUUCAGUUCAGUACUUCUCUUGUGUAUAACAAGUGAUUUCAAGCUGGAUUUGAAACUUAUUACUGUAUAAUUGUUUUGUAUUUUUCUAUAACUAACUUUUAAUGUUCAUAAUAUCAGAGUUUGGCCUUGAAAUAUGAAAUAUGUCAGAUUGCUUUAUUUUGUACCAUUGAGUUCAAAAUGAUCAUUUUCAUGUAAAAGUAGCAUUAAAUACUUUUAUAUAUGCACUUAAGAAAUAUGUCACUCUUUUUGUCCACAGAAUAUGAUUGAAAUAAAAGGCUAGAUCAGUG